UAGUCCACGCCGUAAACGAUGGUCACUAGUUGUUGGGGCUUUAUGCCUCAGUGAUUAAGAGAAAUUGAUAAGUGACCCACCUGGGGAGUACGAUCGCAAGAUUGAAACUCAAAGGAAUUGACGGGGGCCCGCACAAGCGGUGGAGCAUGUGGUUUAAUUCGAUGAUACGCGAGGAACCUUACCAGGGCUUAAAUGUAAGUUGCAUGAUUUAGAGAUAGAUCUUUCUUCGGACUACUUACAAGGUGCUGCAUGGUUGUCGUCAGCUCGUGCCGUGAGGUGUCAGGUUAAGUCCUAUAACGAGCGCAACCCCUACCGUUAGUUGCCAGCAUGUUAUGAUGGGGACUCUAGCGGGACUGCCGGUGCAAACCGAGAGGAAGGUGGGGAUGACGUCAAAUCAUCACGGCCCUUACGUCCUGGGGCUACACACGUGCUACAGUGGGGCAGUACAAAGGGCAGCUAAGCCGCGAGGUGGCGCAAAUCCUCU
rnacentral:rRNA from 1 species